rnacentral:tRNA from 1 species
AAGAUACUAGUAAAAUAGAAAUUACACUGCCUUGUCAAGGCAAAAUUGCGGGUUAAACUCCCGCGUACCUUG